AAAAGAAAGGUAGCUAGCUAACAACUCAACCCUUAACUGUGAUUAUGGGUUCUCAUCUAGAUAGUAAAGAAUAUUUCUGGUAUAAUUAUACCACAAAAAACAUUCACAGUUCUUCCUCAUUGAAACUUUCUAAACUUAACUCUGUGGUGUCAUCCAGGUGUUGGAUCAGUUAUUUCUCUACCGAUUGUUGCUGUGUCGUCCAGUUGUUGGAUCAGUUACUUCUCUACCGAUUGUUCCCGUGUCAUCCAGUUGAUGGACUAGUUACUUCCCUACUGAUUGUUCUCGUGUCAUUCAGAUGUUGGAUCAGUUACUUCAACUUGAAGAAAACAUCAACAGCUAUGAACAAAGAGAUCCAAAUGUGUAUUCUUUAUGUUAAUGACAGUUUUAUAAUACUUUCAUUUGAGAGUUGGACCUUAUGAAUUAUUUUUUAUGUCAGAUAGAAUUUUGUUAAUACAGUUGAGUUAUUUAACUAUUUUAUAAUUUUGAAAGUAACUGAUCCAACACCUGGAUGACACAGGAACAAUCGGUAGAGAAGUAACUGAUCCAACACCUGGAUGACACAGGAACAAUCGGUAGAGAUGUAACUGAUCCAACAACUGAACGACACUGCAACAAUCGGUAGAAUUAACUGAUCCAACAACUGGACAACACUGCAACAAUCGGUAGAAGUAACUGAUACAA